AAUAAAUCCUCCACAGCGCACAGAAUUAUUCCAUCAUACCAUGAAAAAUACAUAGAAUUCAAUCAAAAGAAAUGAUGAAAGGCGUCCACAGCCUUACUGAUUCCCAUCCCCAGUAAUCCUGACAGACAAUGGCGGUGACUGUACACAUACCUCCACCUGCACCGCUGGACACUACAUGUAUGGGGGAAGGGGAGACUAGUGGGCUAGAGGACCUUUCAUGAUGUCAUAACCAUUUGACCAUGUGUGGAAGGAGUCCUCCAGACUAUGCUGUUGGAGGAGGAUCUGCUCGGUGGAGAUCUUCUAUAUAAGAUCCUUUUCCUGAUUGACCCAUCAAGGAUGGACAGGGACAAGAUGGCGGAGUGUAUAAUAAAUCUCACCCAAGAGAUCCUCUUCCGGCUUACUGGAGAGGACUACACAGUGGUGAAGAAGACUUAUUUUGGGAGUUGUCAGGCCCCCGUGUCUGAAGGAUGGUGAAAAACCCUGAGCCCGAUCAUGGGGCCUCCACCCCACCCCCUGAAACAUGAGGAAAUCAAUAGAGAGAAGAUCCUAGAACUCACCAACAAGAUGAUUGAGCUGCUGACUGGAGAGGUUCCUAUAAGGUGUCAGGAUGUCACCAUCUAUUUCUCCAUGGAGGAGUGGGAGU